GGCAAACACGAGGAGGGGUAUCUCUAAACGUACACAGGUACAACCGGUGGGGAUUAUUUUCCUACUGAGAACAAGGAAAGGCCGGUAGAAGUCGUCCUUCCUUUAUCCCAAAAGAGAGAGUUUGGCGGGCGUCGCUUAUCUCGCCUCCCCCAACCACCGAGCUGGGGAGGAAGGGACCUCUUUCCCGGGAAGCGGGAGGGGGUGCCGCACUGGAGCUGAUGGGUCUCUCACCUCGGGAAGGGGCGGAGUCUCUGCUCGGCGAGGAUGGAGGCGCUGGUAGGAAGCGCAGCCGCCGCCGGCCUCACCUCCAUGAGGGGGGCGUAGAUGGACGAGGAAGAAAACAAAAGACCCAAGACUGGAGAAGACAGAUAAAACAGCAGUGAAUAUCUCCAAACCAAUUAGAGUCAGCAGAUACCAGGAAGGCUGUGGAAACCUUGAACCAAUGCCUGGAGACAGUUUUAGCCGCUGUGAUACAUGCCCAGUAACACCUAAAUUAGAUUACUACAUGAGGCUGCCCGUGAAGAGUGUCUGGAAUUUACAUGAGGCUGCCCAUGAAGCAUACCUGGAAACUCUAGCUGGUACAGAAUGUUCCAGCAAAAAUAUUGUCUGAAGUGCCUUUUUGCCCAAAAAGGAUUCUAUUUUCUACAAGCCACAAUAUAUUGAUGUUCAAGGACUUGCAGAACUCAUCUAACAGUUCAUUCCAUUGUGAACUUGUUUUGACAUAUGAAGGAAGUCUGCUGCCUUAGAGUUGUGCUGUGACUCAAAAGUGUUUUUUGUCACUAUCUGCUUUUUAACUUCUGCUUUUCAUAAAUAUUUAUGAGUUGAUAAUUCUAUUAUAUACAUGUGUUCAUAACAUACUGGACUUUGGUUCCUAUAUGCUUUGUUGGCAUAUAUUUAAUUUGUUUUGACUACAGAUUUGUUUUGGUAUUCUACUGGCUGUUUUUCUGUAGUCCCUCUCUCCCUUGCUAGUACAGCCCAAAUCCUGCAUAUCUUAAGGACCACUUGCCUACUCCUAUACAAACGUAUCAUCUUCAGGGGCCCUGCGGUCUGUCACCCCUGUCAUCUGAGGCUAGGUGUGUGACAGCCUGAGAAAGGCAUCAAAAUUACGGAAUUCCAUCCCCAAGGAAAUUGUCUGUCUUCCUUGACCACUGUCUUCUACCAGUGGUAAAGACUUUUCUUUUUCACCAGGCACUCCCUUACUGAUUUGCCUUGUUUGUUUUUAAUCGCUGGUUUCAUACAUGUGUACUAUUUUUAAAGUUCAUUUAAAUUAUA